GGGGAUUUAGCUCAGCGGUAGAGCGCUUGCUUAGCAAGCGCAAGGCCCUGGGUUCGGUCCCCAGCUCCG
rnacentral:tRNA from 1 species